rnacentral:tRNA from 1 species
GGCCUCUUAGCUCAGUUGGCUAGAGCGUUGGAUGUACUAAGGCGUUCUCCUGCUGUGGUGGGUUCGAAUCCCACCGAGGCUA